rnacentral:tRNA from 1 species
AGUUCUGUGGCUCAGUUGAUUAAAGCGCCGGUCUAGCGAAUACGGAGUCGUGGGUUCGAAUCCUACCAGAACGU